rnacentral:rRNA from 1 species
AAAGAUUAAGUUAUUAAGGGCGCACGGUGGAUGCCUUGGCACUAGAAGCCGAUGAAGGACGUUACUAACGACGAUAUGCUUUGGGGAGCUGUAAGUAAGCUUUGAUCCAGAGAUUUCCGAAUGGGGGAA